AGCGAACGCUGGCGGCAGGCUUAACACAUGCAAGUCGAACGCCCCGCAAGGGGAGUGGCAGACGGGUGAGUAACACGUGGGAACGUACCCUUUGGUUCGGAAUAACUUGGGGAAACUCAAGCUAAUACCGGAUAAGCCCGUAUGGGGAAAGGUUUACUGCCGAAGGAUCGGCCCGCGUCUGAUUAGCUAGUUGGUGAGGUAACGGCUCACCAAGGCGACGAGCAGUAGCUGGUCUGAGAGGAUGAUCAGCCACACUGGGACUGAGACACGGCCCAGACUCCUACGGGAGGCAGCAGUGGGGAAUAUUGGACAAUGGGGGCAACCCUGAUCCAGCCAGGCCGCGUGAGUGAUGAAGGCCUUAGGGUUGUAAAGCUCUUUUGCCCGGGACGAUAAUGACUGUACCGGGAGAAUAAGCCCCGGCUAACUUCGUGCCAGCCGCCGCCGUAA
rnacentral:rRNA from 1 species